GUGCUUUACCCAAAUAAAAGAGCAGCAACCCGGUCGAAUUUGUUUUAACAAACAUAUGGUGGGCUUUUCUUAACAAAAAAAGAGAGGCAACGGCAUCGUUUUAGCCUUUUAGGUCGUCUUCUUCCCUUGGCUCUGCAGCCCUAUUUGAUACGGUAAUCUUUCUAGAAUCUUCUUUGUUCGUUGUUUGUUGCCUUGUGAGUUGCGAGUCCAAAUGGAUAAGUUGUAUACUACUGGUAAGCACAUUAUAUGGAUAGUGAAAUUUGAGUUCAUGGAAUAUGUUGAUACACUUGAAACAGCAUUUUGUUCUGGUUUUAGCAUAGAUGGUACUGGCCUCGUUAUGACCUGUGCUCAGCCUUUUCAAAAAUGUCAAGGUAAGCCCUCACUUGUCAUUUCUGCUCGUAGAUUAGAUGAAAAUGGUAUUUUUCAUGAAGCUGAGUUGGUAUAUCAAAAACCACAAUGGGAUGUUAUGCUUUUAAAGGUUAAAGGCAUUAGCGACACUACGUUUGGAAAACUUGUUGAUGAUGGUUCGCUAUAUGCUGGGCAGCCCGUGUUUAUGAUAAGUGCUGCUGGUGAACUUGUUGCGUCAUUUUUGCGAGGCAUGGUCGCUUUUCCAUGUUACCAUAAUGCAGAUCUUCCACCUGAUGAUGGUACAACUUGUGCUGAUAUUGUACCAAAUUCAUGGGAUAGCAUAACGAAGCAUAGAGUUAUGGGAGAUUUAUGCUCACUGGAUGGAUAUCGCGGAUUACCAAUUCACCCUUUACUUCCGAUAAUACAAAUUAAUAGCUCUAUCCAUGCAGGAAGCAGCCACGGUUGCCCCAUAUUUAAUUUGAUGGGGGAGAUUGUGGGAAUGAUUAUAGGUCUAUCUGAUGUUGUCAUUGGUAUACACGUUAGUGCUUUAAGGCAAGUUGUACAAGAGCUGGAAGAGAAGAAGAAUGUAAUCUCUAGCGCAACAGACCCAAAACCAUAAGGUACAGUGUGUUUUUUUUAUGUGAACGAUGCAACAUGCAUUAAUUAUGCAUUGCCCAUUUAUAGGUAGAUUCGAUGCAUUUGUGUUUGGUAGUGUGCUAGAGAUAAUAUUAUUGUUAGAGCCUCGCCUAACAUUGUGUGUUUUGAGUUGAAUUGAUUAUUUGACGAUACAGUUAGGAUCAAAGAUACCUUUCGAUUAAUAUUCAAAAUGUGGAUAAAACAUAAACAUCAUAAGACCAUGAGUACUAGUAUUUUAGAUAUAAUAGUUUAGAGAAAACCUAUUGAAAAGUAAAUGUGUUCAUGCUUCGUAUUCAUAUUUUUGAAUUGGAUGCAUCUGCAUCAAUGCAUCAAACCCAUGAAAAGGCUACAAGUCUGAAACGUUAAAAAUUGGACCAAUUUGUAUUUCAGAUGGUACCUCAAUUAGGUAGGCGUUUAAACUUAUUUUAUUUAUCACCUACAUGGUCCAAAUUUCUUAGAUUUGAGCUUGUAGUUGCAUUAAAAAAAAGUGUAUUACAGACGGUAAUGAAAAAUACUAUGUUUAAUGUUGAGGAAAUUAAGUUAUGUGAGUUUCAGAUUUUUGGGAUUGAUUGUUGGUUUUUUUUGUCACUAUCGUAUCUUUGUUCUUUUAUAAUGGCUUUGCUAAUUGCUUUUUCUGCAUAACUGAAUUUCAGUUUGCAUGAAAAUGUUUCAAAAUCUUACUUCCUCUGUAAGUGAUGUCUUGCACCUUGUUUCCAGCUUCAGUGGGCUUCAAGUUUAAACAUGUUCUUAUCUGCAUCUGAUAUUUACUCUCUUCUUCGAGCUGCAUUAACUUUGUAUUUUGGCUACAAAGGAUCACUCAGAGUUGUGUUUCAUUUGACAAUUUUUGCUGAAAAUGACUCAUUUGAUAUUUAAUGCCAAGCGGAGAGCUAGUGUUUGAAGUCGCAACGGCUAUGGAACUUGCAGCAUUUUAGGAGUAGUUCUUGCAUUUACUUGCUCUUUAUUUUGACAGUUAUGGGGUUUGCAACUUUUUUCUGCUUAACAAAUAUUUUGUCUAGUUAAUUAGAAACGUCAAAGUCUCUUUUUUGAUCACAUGUGCUGGUAUGUGAUGUAGCUUUCAUGUAUUCUGAAUGUUACUAGAUGGUAAAUGUGAUGAUAUAUUUAGGCACCUUCUUAUUUUUUGGGUUUAGUGUGGAAUGUACAUUUUGUUUUUGCCAA